rnacentral:rRNA from 1 species
GACGGCGGAGGCAAGCGUUAUCCGGAAUUAUUGGGCGUAAAGCGUCCGCAGGUGGCGAUUCAAGUCUGCUGUCAAAGGUCGGGGCUUAACCCCGGGAAGGCAGUGGAAACUGAAUAGCUAGAGUGCGGUAGGGGCAGAGAGAAUUCCCGGUGUAGCGGUGAAAUGCGUAGAGCUCGGGAAGAACACCAGUGGCGAAAGCGCUCUGCUGGGCCUACACUGACACUGAGGGACGAAAGCUAGGGGAGCGAAAGGG